AAACCAACAGGGAUUACCUUAGUAACGGCGAGUGAAGCGGUAAAAGCUCAAAUUUGAAAUCUAGCACUUUCAGUGUUCGAGUUGUAAUUUGAAGAAGGUAUCUUUGGAGUUGGCCCCCGUCUAUGUUCCUUGGAACAGGACGUCACAGAGGGUGAGAAUCCCGUGCGAUGGGGAGACCAAUUCUAUGUAAAGUUCCUUCGAAGAGUCGAGUUGUUUGGGAAUGCAGCUCUAAGUGGGUGGUAAAUUCCAUCUAAAGCUAAAUAUUGGCGAGAGACCGAUAGCGAACAAGUACAGUGAUGGAAAGAUGAAAAGAACUUUGAAAAGAGAGUGAAAAAGUACGUGAAAUUGUUGAAAGGGAAGGGCUUUUGAUCAGACUUGGUGUUUAGUACUCUCUACUCCUUGUGGGUGGGGCUCUUGCUUUAUACUGGGCCAGCAUCGGUUUGGAUGGUAGGAUAAGAGCAUUGGAAUGUGGCUUCAUUCGUGAAGUGUUAUAGCCUUUGUUGAUACUACCUAUCUAGACCGAGGACUGCGUCUUUUGACUAGGAUGCUGGCGUAAUGAUUAAAAGCCGC
rnacentral:rRNA from 1 species